CGAACGGGUGAGUAACACGUGAGUAACCUGCCCUUGACUCUGGGAUAAGCGUUGGAAACGACGUCUAAUACCGGAUACGAGCUUCCACCGCAUGGUGAGUUGCUGGAAAGAAUUUUGGUCAAGGAUGGACUCGCGGCCUAUCAGCUUGUUGGUGAGGUAAUGGCUCACCAAGGCGACGACGGGUAGCCGGCCUGAGAGGGUGACCGGCCACACUGGGACUGAGACACGGCCCAGACUCCUACGGGAGGCAGCAGUGGGGAAUAUUGCACAAUGGGCGAAAGCCUGAUGCAGCAACGCCGCGUGAGGGACGACGGCCUUCGGGUUGUAAACCUCUUUUAGCAGGGAAGAAGCGAAAGUGACGGUACCUGCAGAAAAAGCACCGGCUAACUACGUGCCAGCAGCCGCGGUAAUACGUAGGGUGCAAGCGUUGUCCGGAAUUAUUGGGCGUAAAGAGCUCGUAGGCGGUUUGUCGCGUCUGCUGUGAAAUCCCGAGGCUCAACCUCGGGUCUGCAGUGGGUACGGGCAGACUAGAGUGCGGUAGGGGAGAUUGGAAUUCCUGGUGUAGCGGUGGAAUGCGCAGAUAUCAGGAGGAACACCGAUGGCGAAGGCAGAUCUCUGGGCCGCUACUGACGCUGAGGAGCGAAAGGGUGGGGAGCAAACAGGCUUAGAUACCCUGGUAGUCCACCCCGUAAACGUUGGGCGCUAGAUGUGGGGACCAUUCCACGGUUUCCGUGUCGUAGCUAACGCAUUAAGCGCCCCGCCUGGGGAGUACGGCCGCAAGGCUAAAACUCAAAGGAAUUGACGGGGGCCCGCACAAGCGGCGGAGCAUGCGGAUUAAUUCGAUGCAACGCGAAGAACCUUACCAAGGCUUGACAUAUACGAGAACGGGCCAGAAAUGGUCAACUCUUUGGACACUCGUAAACAGGUGGUGCAUGGUUGUCGUCAGCUCGUGUCGUGAGAUGUUGGGUUAAGUCCCGCAACGAGCGCAACCCUCGUUCUAUGUUGCCAGCACGUAAUGGUGGGAACUCAUGGGAUACUGCCGGGGUCAACUCGGAGGAAGGUGGGGACGACGUCAAAUCAUCAUGCCCCUUAUGUCUUGGGCUUCACGCAUGCUACAAUGGCCAGUACAAAGGGCUGCAAUACCGUAAGGUGGAGCGAAUCCCAAAAAGCUGGUCCCAGUUCGGAUUGAGGUCUGCAACUCGACCUCAUGAAGUCGGAGUCGCUAGUAAUCGCAGAUCAGCAACGCUGCGGUGAAUACGUUCCCGGGCCUUGUACACACCGCCCGUCAAGUCAUGAAAGUCGG
rnacentral:rRNA from 1 species